rnacentral:rRNA from 1 species
GGGUUGUGAGGUUAAGCGACUAAGCGUACACGGUGGAUGCCCUGGCAGUCAGAGGCGAUGAAGGACGUGCUAAUCUGCGAAAAGCGUCGGUAAGGUGAUAUGAACCGUUAUAACCGGCGAUGUCCGAAUGGGGAAACCCAGUGCAAUUCGUUGCACUAUCGUUAACUGAAUACAUAGGUUAACGAGGCGAACCGGGGGAACUGAAACAUCUAAGUACCCCGAGGAAAAGAAAUCAACCGAGAUUCCCCCAGUAGCGGCGAGCGAACGGGGAGCAGCCCAGAGUCUGAAUCAGCUUGUGUGUUAGUGGAACGGUCUGGAAAGUCCGACGGUACAGGGUGAUAGUCCCGUACACCAAAAUGCACAGGCUGUGAACUCGAAGAGUAGGGCGGGACACGUGGUAUCCUGUCUGAAUAUGGGGGGACCAUCCUCCAAGGCUAAAUACUCCUGACUGACCGAUAGUGAACCAGUACCGUGAGGGAAAGGCGAAAAGAACCCCGGCGAGGGGAGUGAAAAAGAACCUGAAACCGUGUACGUACAAGCAGUGGGAGCACCUUUAUGGUGUGACUGCGUACCUUUUGUAUAAUGGGUCAGCGACUUAUAUUCUGUAGCAAGGUUAACCGUAUAGGGGAGCCGCAGGGAAACCGAGUCUUAACUGGGCGUUAAGUUGCAGGGUAUAGACCCGAAACCCGGUGAUCUAGCCAUGGGCAGGUUGAAGGUUGGGUAACACUAACUGGAGGACCGAACCGACUAAUGUUGAAAAAUUAGCGGAUGACUUGUGGCUGGGGGUGAAAGGCCAAUCAAACCGGGAGAUAGCUGGUUCUCCCCGAAAGCUAUUUAGGUAGCGCCUCGUGAACUCAUCUUCGGGGGUAGAGCACUGUUUCGGCUAGGGGGUCAUCCCGACUUACCAACCCGAUGCAAACUACGAAUACCGAAGAAUGUUAUCACGGGAGACACACGGCGGGUGCUAACGUCCGUCGUGAAGAGGGAAACAACCCAGACCGCCAGCUAAGGUCCCAAAGUCAUGGUUAAGUGGGAAACGAUGUGGGAAGGCACAGACAGCCAGGAUGUUGGCUUAGAAGCAGCCAUCAUUUAAAGAAAGCGUAAUAGCUCACUGGUCGAGUCGGCCUGCGCGGAAGAUGUAACGGGGCUAAACCAUGCACCGAAGCUGCGGCAGCGACACUAUGUGUUGUUGGGUAGGGGAGCGUUCUGUAAGCCUGCGAAGGUGUGCUGUGAGGCAUGCUGGAGGUAUCAGAAGUGCGAAUGCUGACAUAAGUAACGAUAAAGCGGGUGAAAAGCCCGCUCGCCGGAAGACCAAGGGUUCCUGUCCAACGUUAAUCGGGGCAGGGUGAGUCGACCCCUAAGGCGAGGCCGAAAGGCGUAGUCGAUGGGAAACAGGUUAAUAUUCCUGUACUUGGUGUUACUGCGAAGGGGGGACGGAGAAGGCUAUGUUAGCCGGGCGACGGUUGUCCCGGUUUAAGCAUGUAGGCUGGUUAUCCAGGCAAAUCCGGAUAAUCAAGGCUGAGGUGUGAUGACGAGGCACUACGGUGCUGAAGUAACAAAUGCCCUGCUUCCAGGAAAAGCCUCUAAGCAUCAGGUAACAUUAAAUCGUACCCCAAACCGACACAGGUGGUCAGGUAGAGAAUACCAAGGCGCUUGAGAGAACUCGGGUGAAGGAACUAGGCAAAAUGGUGCCGUAACUUCGGGAGAAGGCACGCUGGUGUGUAGGUGAAGCCCCUGCGGGUGGAGCUGAGACCAGUCGAAGAUACCAGCUGGCUGCAACUGUUUAUUAAAAACACAGCACUGUGCAAACACGAAAGUGGACGUAUACGGUGUGACGCCUGCCCGGUGCCGGAAGGUUAAUUGAUGGGGUUAUCCGUAAGGAGAAGCUCUUGAUCGAAGCCCCGGUAAACGGCGGCCGUAACUAUAACGGUCCUAAGGUAGCGAAAUUCCUUGUCGGGUAAGUUCCGACCUGCACGAAUGGCGUAAUGAUGGCCAGGCUGUCUCCACCCGAGACUCAGUGAAAUUGAACUCGCUGUGAAGAUGCAGUGUACCCGCGGCAAGACGGAAAGACCCCGUGAACCUUUACUAUAGCUUGACACUGAACAUUGAGCCUUGAUGUGUAGGAUAGGUGGGAGGCUUUGAAGCGUGGACGCCAGUCUGCGUGGAGCCAACCUUGAAAUACCACCCUUUAAUGUUUGAUGUUCUAACGUUGGCCCCUGACCGGGGUUGCGGACAGUGUCUGGUGGGUAGUUUGACUGGGGCGGUCUCCUCCCAAAGCGUAACGGAGGAGCACGAAGGUUAGCUAAUCCUGGUCGGACAUCAGGAGGUUAGUGCAAUGGCAUAAGCUAGCUUGACUGCGAGCGUGACGGCGCGAGCAGGUGCGAAAGCAGGUCAUAGUGAUCCGGUGGUUCUGAAUGGAAGGGCCAUCGCUCAACGGAUAAAAGGUACUCCGGGGAUAACAGGCUGAUACCGCCCAAGAGUUCAUAUCGACGGCGGUGUUUGGCACCUCGAUGUCGGCUCAUCACAUCCUGGGGCUGAAGUAGGUCCCAAGGGUAUGGCUGUUCGCCAUUUAAAGUGGUACGCGAGCUGGGUUUAGAACGUCGUGAGACAGUUCGGUCCCUAUCUGCCGUGGGCGCUGGAGAAUUGAGGGGGGCUGCUCCUAGUACGAGAGGACCGGAGUGGACGCAUCACUGGUGUUCGGGUUGUCAUGCCAAUGGCACUGCCCGGUAGCUAAAUGCGGAAGAGAUAAGUGCUGAAAGCAUCUAAGCACGAAACUUGCCCCGAGAUGAGUUCUCCCUGAGACUUUAAGUCUCCUGAAGGAACGUUGAAGACGACGACGUUGAUAGGCCGGGUGUGUAAGCGCAGCGAUGCGUUGAGCUAACCGGUACUAAUGAACCGUGAGGCUUAACCUUACAACGCCGAAG